UACGUAGGGGGCAAGCGUUGUCUGGAUUUAUUGGGCGUAAAGAGCGUGUAGGCGGCCUGAAAGGUCAGCUGUGAAAACUCGAGGCUCAACCUCGAGACGUCGGUUGAAACCAUCUGGCUAGAGUCCGGAAGAGGAGUGUGGAAUUCCCGGUGUAGCGGUGAAAUGCGUAGAGAUGUGGAGGAACACCAGUGGCGAAGGCGACUCUUUGGCCUAUAACUGACGCUGAGGCGCGAAAGCGUGGGGAGCAAACAGG
rnacentral:rRNA from 1 species